rnacentral:tRNA from 1 species
GUGGCGCAAUCGGUUAGCGCGUUCGGCUGUUAACCGAAAGGUUGGUGGUGAUAGAAAUUCUCCUUUUACCCUUCA